rnacentral:rRNA from 1 species
UGCCAGCCGCCGCGGUAAUACGAAGGGGGCGAGCGUUGUUCGGAAUUACUGGGCGCAAAGGGCGCGCAGGCGGUUUAUCAAGUUAGGUGUGAAAUCCCCGGGCUUAACCUGGGAACUGCACUUGAUACUGAUAAGCUAGAAAACGGAAGAGGAGAGUGGAAUUCCCAGUGUAGAGGUGAAAUUCGUAGAUAUUGGGAAGAACACCAGUGGCGAAAGCGGCUCUCUGGUCCGAUUUUGACGCUGAGGCGCGAAAGCGUGGGGAGCAAACAGGAUUAGAUA